rnacentral:tRNA from 1 species
UGGGCUAUGGUGUAGCGGUAACACAGCGGACUUUGACUCUGCCAUCUCUGGUUCAAAUCCAGAUAGCCCAGCCA